UACGAAGGGGGCUAGCGUUGCUCGGAAUCACUGGGCGUAAAGCGCACGUAGGCGGCUUUUUAAGUCAGGGGUGAAAUCCUGGAGCUCAACUCCAGAACUGCCUUCGAUACUGGCGAUCUUGAGUCCGGAAGAGGUGAGUGGAACUCCUAGUGUAGAGGUGGAAUUCGUAGAUAUUAGGAAGAACACCAGUGGCGAAGGCGGCUCACUGGUCCGGUACUGACGCUGAGGUGCGAAAGCGUGGGGAGCAAACAGG
rnacentral:rRNA from 1 species